CUGCUCUCUCCUGCUCCUGCUGGGUCACUGGAAGCUGCUUUGUCCAGGCUAAUCACGCCCUUCUCACAGCCUCAUGGACCACCUCCAUCUUUGAUGUUCCCUGGUCUCCAAGAGCAGAUCGGUACAUCCAUCCAAUGUUUCAGCACAUUCCUGAGUUCCCACUGUGAUGGAGUGUUCUUGGAAGACUCUCUGGUUUCUUGCUUCUCAGGACCUUGGCUGCUCUCCAAGGAAUGUACCUUUGGAGACAGUUGUUAUCAGUGCUGGGUCAGGUUGCACCACCACCACCACCACCGCCACACCACCCCCUGAAGAUCCACAGUGAUCUCCAUGUUCUUGGAUCCCCUGG